GCGGUGAAUGUAAAUUACAUUCACGCUGUGGAAAGUUGCCUUCACAGCUCGCUCACGACUUUGGUAUGCGUGUGCGACCCCAAUGUUAUUCGGCAAACUUUCAGAUAAAACUACAAGGUUAAAUUCAUCCAUACAUUGUUUUUCGAUAGCAUGCUUCUGAACUAAGAUAAUAGCAAAUGAAUGCAAAUCUUUGCAAAUGAAUGGUCGCAACCUUGUUGGAGGAUUGCGUCAGUCUUGUCUAAUGCCGUUUUUCUUUUUUAACCUGGGUUGGAACUGGAUUGGCGGAAAAUGUGUAAACAAACAACGUCAAACAAACUUUAGUACAAGCGAAACCGAAGUCGGGUUGGGGUUGAAACUGUGAUCUGAUCCAGUUCCAACCCAGGUUGGAACUGGAUAAUAAAGAAAAACGGCAUAAGAGUCAGAGAUUAGUCCCAAAUCUUUGUGCUUUGGUUCGGACGGGAAGGAGGCAACCCUCAUAACAGUGGUCUGGGAUUGUACCACCUACGAAUUUGUGCGACUCGCUUAAUGCUAAUGCUAAUUCGUGCUGAAAAAAUCAUCAUUUUGCAACUUGUUGCAUAAAUAACUAUUUCACCCACUUCUAUAAAUACGUCGCAACUCGAUUCGAAUUAGUGCAUAUUGAUGCGCAAUGCCAACAAUAACCCGUGAUUAACAACCGGAGAAUCUAGGACUUGCAUUGGAGACUUGGCCCCAUGACCCCCUUGUGCAUCAAUAACAUAAAAUAAAAUAAACAACCGAAGAAUCUAGUAAUUCAACCAAAUGCCAUCAAGAUGACGAGGAAACACGGAUGAGUUGAACAGACAACUGAUUCGAAGCAGUCUAACAAUGGUGUGCCUGAACAUUGACCAAGCGUAUCCUUUGGAGUCUACCCUUCCGCUAACAACACCCAAAUUCCCGUGACACCUAGGCCUGAGAGAUCGUAGAGUUGUCUACAUUACUCAUAGUUGUCCAAAACUAACCAUCCUUUCCCAUCUCUCAACAGUCGCAAGGACGUGGCCAGGACAGUGCUCGACCAUAGUGUAGUGUCCGGAGGGACACUUCCGAGCACACCAUCCGAAUCCCUACACAUAGGAGGAUUGCGUCAGUCUUGUCUAAGAGUCAGAGAUUAGUCCCAAAUCUUUGUGCUUUGGUUCGGAUGGGAAGGAGGCAACCCACAUAACAGCGGUCUAGGACUGUACCACUUACGAAUUUGUGCGACUCGCUUAAUGCUAAUGCUUAUACUAUUUGAUGCGCUAUGCCAACAAUCAGUUCUGGAGCUCGAUUUGAAUAGGUCGUAUGUGCUCUUGUCGAUUAAAAAUUCGAUCACUUGGAUUCGCUCAUUAUAGCGAAAACCGUUGAAAUUGAGCAAAGUUUAUACAUACAGCAGAAUCCUCACAAAACAGGCUUUCUGUUACCGUUGAAAUUGAGCAAAGUUUAUACAUACAGCAGAAUCCUCACAAAACAGGCUUUCUGUUACAUCAUUAAAAGUUUGCAAAAUAUCUACCAUAUUGCUACAAUGGCUAGAAUAAACUGAUCGAAUUUUAUAUCGACAAAAGCACAUACGACCUAUUCAAAUCGAGCUCCAGAGUUGUACUUCACUCUGAAGAAUUUUCACGUCCGAUUUACGUGAAAAGAUAGGUAGUUUUCGUCCACCAUAUUUUUCACGUCACCUUCACCGGAAUGUCAGGUAGCUGGACAAAUUUGAGCUUCGAGAAUCGACGUGAUGAGUCAGGUAAAUUUGACUCGCGUUUUAGGUAUCGUUUGCGUGAAAUGUGGGUGAGUGCCACUGGAAUUUCAGGUAACUUUUACGUGAAAAUAUUAUUAGCGCUACAUGAAUUUCACGUAAUUUAUGUACGAAUUUUGGAUGAAAAUAAAGCAGUCUCGCCAGCUUGCAACGUAUUUGAAGAGGCAAGAGAAUUUGAAUCCUUACAAAAUGCAAUAAAUAUUCAUAGAUUUUACCCUACCGUAGAAUAAAUCUAUGAUUGCAUUUUAUAGGGAUUUGAAAUCUUACUUCCUCAAAUACGCUACAAGCAGGUGCUAAUAUGUAACAAUUACAGAAAAAUCUUUAUCAGUCAUUUAUUUUACAGUAUGUACUUAAUAAAUUUGCACUUACGUUUCUACAUACGUUUCGGAUCCUCUGAUCCUUUAAAAGUGCAGAGUUCCAAAUAAAUCCAAGGAUGAUAAAGCAAAAUCUGUGAAGUCCAACCAUUUUUAACACUCGUUGAACUUCUCUGUUGGACCUCCGCUACCGUCACGAGAAUUAUGACGCAUUCCAGCU